rnacentral:miRNA from 1 species
ACCUAGGAAUUUUGCCACAG